rnacentral:rRNA from 1 species
UACAGAGGUCUCAAGCGUUGUUCGGAUUCAUUGGGCGUAAAGGGUGCGUAGGCGGCGCGGUAAGUCGGGUGUGAAAUCUCGGAGCUUAACUCCGAAGCUGCAUUUGAUACUGCCGUGCUUGAGGACUGGAGAGGAGACUGGAAUUUACGGUGUAGCGGUGAAAUGCGUAGAUAUCGUAAGGAAGACCAGUGGCGAAGGCGGGUCUCUGGACAGUUCCUGACGCUGAGGCACGAAGGCCAGGGGAGCAAACAGG